rnacentral:rRNA from 1 species
AGAGNNUGAUCCUGGCUCAGGAUGAACGCUGGCGGCGUGCUUAACACAUGCAAGUCGAACGGUGAAGCUCCAGCUUGCUGGAGUGGAUCAGUGGCGAACGGGUGAGUAACACGUGAGCAACCUGCCCCGAACUCUGGGAUAAGCGCUGGAAACGGCGUCUAAUACCGGAUACGCACCAGAGCGGCAUCGUUACUGGUGGGAAAGAUUUUUUGGUUCGGGAUGGGCUCGCGGCCUAUCAGCUUGUUGGUGAGGUAACGGCUCACCAAGGCGUCGACGGGUAGCCGGCCUGAGAGGGUGACCGGCCACACUGGGACUGAGACACGGCCCAGACUCCUACGGGAGGCAGCAGUGGGGAAUAUUGCACAAUGGGCGGAAGCCUGAUGCAGCAACGCCGCGUGAGGGACGACGGCCUUCGGGUUGUAAACCUCUUUUAGCAGGGAAGAAGCGAAAGUGACGGUACCUGCAGAAAAAGCGCCGGCUAACUACGUGCCAGCAGCCGCGGUAAUACGUAGGGCGCAAGCGUUAUCCGGAAUUAUUGGGCGUAAAGAGCUCGUAGGCGGUUUGUCGCGUCUGCUGUGAAAACCCGAGGCUCAACCUCGGGCCUGCAGUGGGUACGGGCAGACUAGAGUGCGGUAGGGGAGAUUGGAAUUCCUGGUGUAGCGGUNGAAUGCGCAGAUAUCAGGAGGAACACCGAUGGCGAAGGCAGAUNUNUGGGCCGU